GCCGCCGCUCCCAGCAUGCACGGCUCGGGGGCGGAGCCUCCGCGACGCCAUCUUGGAAAGGGCGACACACGGGAGUGGGAAGACGCCACCUUGGAAAGGUCACUGGCUGCCCCGCUCGCUAAAACAGGGCCGCCAUCUUGGGAAGGUCCGGUCUCUGGCGCCCGCCUCCCCCGGAGGUAGCGCAGCACCGCCAUUUUGGGAGGGUCGGUUAGGCUCGAAAUGCCCUGUCAGGGGCGGGAGCCUGUGAAACACCUCAGCCCAGGCCUGGGUGCGAGAGCUCGCGACGUGCCCCGCCAGGAGGGGAGGCGCUGGGCCUAGCAGCCAGUGGGCUGGGCUGUCCUCCUCCACCCCCACGCCCUCAGGCCCCACCGUCCCCCCAGUGGCAGGGCCGGAGUGGGCGUGCGGCCUGGCGCCUGCCCCGAGGAGCUCCCAGUCUGAGGCCGCGAGAUGGACGGACCGAGCGCUGUGACACAGAACUGUUUAUGGUGACCGCAUUUUCAACACAUGGGUGGAAACAGAAGUGAUCUUUGCAGCUAUAGAUGCUUCUUAAUGUUAGUUCAAGAUAAAGAUGCUCACAGAGGCUGCUGCUGUAUAAAAAGAGACAGAUGUACUGAAGAGCUGCUGGAUAGAUGCUGGAGAGAAAUAUGCCGGUUUCUAAACUGGUGGGGACACUAUUUUAUUUUCUAUCUCUAUAUAAUGUUUUAUUUGUUCCAGCAGUUGUUUAGAAAAAUCCAAAUGGGUCUCUUUCAGUUCUUC